CCAAUAGCGUAUAUUAAAGUUGUUGCAGUUAAAAAGCUCGUAGUUGAAUUUCGGGAUUAGUAAGUUGGUCGUGCCUCUGGUAUGUACUGGCUUUACUGGUUCCUCCUUCUUGAAGAACUGUAAUGUCAUUAAUUUGGUGUUGCAGGGAAACAGGACCGUUACUUUGAAAAAAUUCGAGUGUUUAAAGCAGGCUAACGCUUGAAUACAUUAGCAUGGAAUAAUGAAAUAGGACGUUUGAUCCUAUUUUGUUGGUUUCUAGGAUUGACGUAAUGAUUAAUAGGGAUAGUUGGGGGCAUUAGUAUUCAAUUGUCAGAGGUGAAAUUCUUGGAUUUAUUGAAGGCUAACUACUGCGAAAGCAUUUGCCAAGGAUGUUUUCAUUAAUCAAGAACGAAAGUUAGGGGAUCGAAGACGAUCAGAUACCGUCGUAGUCUUAACCAUAAACUAUGCCGACUAGGGAUCGGAUGAUGUUAAUUUUUUAAUGACUCAUUCGGCGCCUUACG
rnacentral:rRNA from 1 species